UAAAUCGCUCGAUUUAAGAUGGCCAACUCCCUUGAGCCAUCAUGAAUGCUCAAUCUAUAUUUAUAAUUUACAAACCAGCUAGCCACAUGUGCAUCACCUACCAAUUUGCUAUUUGCGCUCUUAACAUAGUAGUAACAACAUGACUUACUAUUUAUCAGCACAAACUUAUUACUGUAGAACGACACCGUUUUUGGUACAGUUAAGUAAGGAUAAAUUGUACAGUUAAGUAAGGAACAGCCCUUCGUCGUGUUUGAGUAUAAUUCCUGAACAUAGCUCAACAGACACGUUAGCAACUACUUCUUUUACAGGCGGCGCGGGGUUUAUGAUCUAUACAGCACCUAGCCACCAGGGGGCAGUGUAGAUAUGUUGCCAGUGGCUCUGUUGUGCAUUGUCAUUACACAAAACUGACAGCACAUGAACUAGCAGGUACAAUACCAGGAGCAGCAAAAUGAAACGGGAACUUUGAUUUUCUUUCUUUCUCUGUGCAUCCAAAUGCCUUUUGUUUUCAUGUUGGUGAAAUGAGAAAAGAGGAGGGAUGAAUUGAAGAAGCAGAAUCAGACAUCCUGUCUGGUUUAUCUGGAAGAGAGAGAUAAGUGUGGAUUCCGCCUCUUUCAGGGAACGCACAUUAACCAUGCCUCAGAGGGAGCGCUGGGUGUGGGGAAGGGUGGCGGGGGAUAGAGGAGGUGUCUGUCUGCCGGGAGCACACAGCUUUCACUCACUGUGAAAACUGUGAAAAUGUCCCCUUCACACCCUCGGCAGCUCAGGCCAAGCUCCGGUGCUAUGUUAGUGGUGAUAAAAUGCCUCCGUGCCACAGCCUAGUUGGAAGUGAGACGUGCAAUGCUAUCCAGAGGUGUUGGACUGACAAGUCUACAAUGUGUUAACUUGUAUCCUACAGUGACUUCUGACCCUGACCCUGUUACAAAAGUCUGCUGGAAACACCGCGCUCAAGUUUGUGGUGGAGAAAAGCACAAAGAGCAUACAAAACUUCACCAGAAAAAUGACAAAACCUCAGUUUAUGCAACAAAAGAAACUAUUUAUUUGGGAUACGCAUUGCCAGUACAAAUUAAGAGACCAUAAAACCUACACCUUUCAGCUAUUUUUCUCCACAGAAAACAAGUUUUGAAUCGGAAUUAGAAAGACAAUAGUUUUCCAUUUGAUACCUUUUUACAUACGCAGAGAUCUUAAAAGUUAAAACCUGUCAAGAAAAAGGCUCCACGAUUUCACUCUGAAAUCCUUAUAAAAAAGAAGUUAACAUUCAAAACACUGCAGUACGUUAUUUUAUUGAAGAACAAAAAGACAUGCAACAAAUAAAACAUUUCAUGUUUUACAAAUUGUUCAUCUUUCUUUUCAUGUCUCUUUUCCUUUUAUAUUCAAAAACUAAAAAGCAUCAUUACAUGAAGCUUCGAUAAUAUUUGACAGGCAAUGUGAAAAGUAGAGUUAAGCCUUUUUUUGAGGGGUGCAAAAACAAUCCUCGUGUUUGCCUUGCAUGGCCGCCGCUGUCAGUUCACUCCAAUGACUUCCAAAGACACGACUGAGGCAGGUUCUGUGCAUCAUUUCAAUGGUGCUCGCCCCCUCGGCUGUAAUACUGAGCAGGUGAGUCGAGAGGGGAGCCGCUCUGAGUCAUUCAAAUGAGUUUGUCUGGUGCCAUCAUGCCGUCGUAGAUCUCAACGCCGAAGCUCUGAGACAUCCAUGAUUUCAUACGUGUGUAAUAAAUACUGUUAAAAAAAAUACCUGUGGUUUUCAGGCUGUUUUGUGGCUGUUUGGGAUCUCGGGACUGAAUUUUCUCUCAGGGUUCAGUUCAGCUAAAAUAAAAGCCAAAGAGAGGGCAAUGUUAACGCUAACUUUUCACGUCACCUUAAAUGGGACAGUAGCCAUUCUGGACGCAGGGUUGUAAUGGUGACAUGAGUACAAAACAAUAAGAAGGAUUUCACCGUAAAUCCAACAGGAACUCAAAGAGGCUGCGUUAAAAUAGCUACUGUCCAAAUUCAAAGAUGCAAAAAAAGAGUAAAGGUGCAUAUCUACAUACUGUAUA